UCUCCCUUUGUAAUGAUCAAGUCAGAGCUGCUUUAAGUCAUCAAGAACAACAACGCCAUGGAUGAAGAUGAAAUGGAUGCCACAUAUCCGGGCAGGGAUCAUGUCGCAACCGCAGUAUUUAAAGCUGCUAAUAUAGGCACUGACAUGCUGUACAGCCUUUCUAAGGAAGACUUGCGUGACCUCUUUCCUGGACCAGAGCACUUUUUCAGAAGGAGAACAAUUUGGAGUGUUACUCAUGAUGAAAAUGAGGGUCAGGAAGCAGACCGGUGUAGACCAGGCACCUCCUCUGGCACCUGUGAUUUCAGCCCCAUUCCCACUCCUCCAACUCCCUUCUCCAUCACCCCCAUCCCCUCUCCAAAACCAAGAGACCAACAUGGUGCCAGCCGAAUUGUACAGCUUGUCAGCCCACAGUAUGUUGUAUACACAGACACAGAGUUGGAGCAAUCAAGAAGCACCUUUUUUGAAAAACAGUGUGCUGGAGAAGAAGGAGACCAUAUUCUUUCCAAAGAUCUUCGCUGUCGACUAAUCAGGAAUACAGUAACAAGCAUGAUUUCAAUUAAGAGAGCAGCGGGACAGAUCUGCUACCAGUGGAGCUGAGUGUGAAUCUGUGAAGAAGCAGCUUUUGAAAAGGGUCCAGAAUGUGACAACUCCCAAAAAGAAGCAGGGAGCGACUCCUUCAAGAAAGCGGCCACAGAGACUUAGCUUUCAGAGCAGCCAGGAGACGUCCACUGAUGACACUGAUGAGUCCACCUCCUCUACUUUGAUCUUGGAGAGAUCCCCACAAUUUAGAUGCAGCACCCCAGAGGAUGAACAGUUGGAUGAAUCAGAAACUACUGACAGCCUACAGAACCAGGCGAGACAUCAUAAAACUCUACAGGCCAUGUACAAAACCAAGGCCAAACCCAACAAGAAGGAUGUUUCCCAGCUCCUGGACCUUGAAUUCUAAGCAAGACGGCUGUUCAUUGACGGUGAUGUUAUCAAGGAGCAGGACAGGCAUACCAGGAUUCUUGAAGCAUACCCCUGCUUCAGAGAA